rnacentral:rRNA from 1 species
AUUGAACGCUGGCGGCAGGCCUAACACAUGCAAGUCGAGCGAGCGGCGGACGGGUGAGUAAUAUAUGGGGAUCUGCCCGCUAGAGAGGGAUAACUACUGGAAACUGUGGAUAAUACCGCAUACUAUCGGAUGACCCCAUAUGGGAUUAGCUAGUAGGUGGGGUAAAGGCUCACAUAGGCAACAAUCUCUAGCUGGUCAGGAAGGCUGAUCAGCCACACGGGGACGGAGACACGGCCCAGACUCCUACGGGAGGCAGCAGUGGGGAAUAUUGCACAAGGGGCGCAAGCCGGAGGCAGCCAUGCCGCGUGUAUGAAGAAGGCCUUAGGGGUGUAAAGUACUUUCAGCGGGGAGGCGUUACCCGCAGAAGAAGCACCGGCUAACUCCGUGCCAACAGCCGCGGUAAUAC